AUGAGGAACCUUUGCUGGAACUGCCGUGGGAUUGGAGAUGCCACGAUGGUACGCGAGCUCCGGGAGCUCGUCAAAGAAAGUGCAUCGUCGGUGGUUUGUAUUGUGGAGACACAAUUUACAAAACAACAGGUGGAAGUCCUAACUACUACGUUGGGUUUUGCUGGAGGUUUUGCAGUGGCCAGUAGUGGAAGGAGCAGAGGCUUGGCAGUGUUUUGGCGGGAUGGUCUUGAUGUGAGGGUUAAAAAUUAUUCUAGAUACCACAUAGAUACGGUGGUGUCCGAGGCUGGGAAACAUGAUUGGAGAUUUACAUGCUUCUAUGGUGAGGCAAAUAGGAGUCAACAACAGAACACUUGGGACACCAUGAUCGGAUUGAGAGGGGAAUCCACUUUGCCCUGGGUGUGCAUUGGUGAUUUUAAUGAGGUCCUAAGAAGGGAAGAAUAG
rnacentral:rRNA from 1 species